rnacentral:rRNA from 1 species
CCUACGGGAGGCAGCAGUGGGGGAUAUUGCACAAUGGGGGAAACCCUGAUGCAGCGACGCCGCGUGAGUGAAGAAGUAUUUCGGUAUGUAAAGCCCUAUCAGCAGGGAAGAAAAUGACAGUACCUGACCAAGAAGCACCGGCUAACUACGUGCCAGCAGCCGCGGUAACACGUAGGGGGCAGGCGUUAUCCGGAAUUACUGGGGGUAAAGGGAGCGUAGACGGUUAAGUAAGUCUGGAGUGAAAGGCCGGGGCCCAAACCCGGGACUGCUGUGGAAACUAUUGAACUUGAGUGCAGGAGAGGUAAGCGGAAUGCCUGGUGUAGCGGUGAAAUGCGUAGAUAUUAGGAGGAACACCGGUGGCGAAGGCAGCAUACUGGACUGUAACUGACGUUGAGGCUCGAAAGCGUGGGGAGCGAACAGGAUUAGAUACCCCUGUAGUC